CAAACCGAGGCCGCGGGAGUCUGCGCUCAAUAGUUACGCUGGAGGGUCAGAGACUACAAUUCCCGGCGUGCAGUGCGGCGGCCGUCCCCAAUAAGAAGUCCAGCCUCGAGGGUUCCCUACUGGACUGUUGCGCGGCAUGCUGGGAAUCCUAGUGGUUGCUGGCUGCACCUGAUGUAUUCCCCAUUCUUGGGGAGGUAGGAAGUUGCACUGUUUCCAGUCUUGGUGAAUUGAAAGGCAUGGACUUAAAAACCACUAAUCCUUCCCUCCAGCUGUGUUGUUAGCCCUACUGAAGCCUUGAGGUCACCCUGAGGGAGAUUUUUAAGACCUCUUGUGCUGGAAAAGUCAAAUAACCACUACCACUACCACCACCACCACCACCACCUUGAUUACAUCAGUCUUCAGGUCCUAUUGAAGAACCUUGAGAACAGUUAUGCUUUUAGCCCUGAGCCCUUGGCCAUUAUCCUGGGAAAUAAUCCCCUUGAACUUGUAGCCUGGCAAUCAUCUGUUACUGUAGGGCUACACCCAAAGCUUUUGAAGACAGGAGGGAAAAAAAAGUUAUUGCCACCGUGAAAGAUGAAGUUUAGAAAGGUGGUGGACUCCUCUUAUGAAUCACUAAGAGGGAGUCAGGGAGUCUUUCCAUCAAAACAAGUUGUGUUCCCAACCUAAGCCUGGUUUUGGAUAAAUAGAACUGAAACAGACCUUAUUUUGAUUGGUUAAACGUUUAAAUGAUAUGUAGAUAGAUAGGAAUGAAAGGUUAAAACCAUCUUGAAUAAUUAAGACAAUUGGUUUUAUAAAUUGCCAUAAGAUUGUAACUCUCAAGUAACCAUACAGUGGUGAAGAGGGUAGGGCCAAUAUUUGUGGCAGGGACUAGAAUAAAAGGUUAUCUGCUCCCAUAUGUUGUACUUGUUGUAACACUUGUAACACUGACUUGCAAGUACCCAUUCUCAGGAGGAUGAAAUAAAGAGGCUUUGACACACCG